rnacentral:rRNA from 1 species
UGAGGAAUAUUGCACAAUGGAGGAAACUCUGAUGCAGCCAUGCCGCGUGCAGGAUGACGGCCCUACGGGUUGUAAACUGCUUUUUUACAAGAAGAAACCUUGGUACGUGUACCAACUUGACGGUAUUGUAAGAAUAAGCACCGGCUAACUCCGUGCCAGCAGCCGCGGUAAUACGGAGGGUGCAAGCGUUAUCCGGAUUUAUUAGGUUUAAAGGGUUCGCAGGCGGAAUUUUAAGUCAGUGGUGAAAGCCUAUAGCUUAACUAUAGAACUGCCACUGAUACUGAUAUUCUUGAGUGUAGAUGAAGUGGGCGGAAUAUGUCAUGUAGCGGUGAAAUGCAUAGAUAUGACAUGGAACACCAAUUGCGAAGGCAGCUCACUAAACUAUUACUGACGCUCAUGAACGAAAGCAUGGGGAGCGAACAGG